rnacentral:snRNA from 1 species
CAAAGUGUAGUAUCUGUUCUUAUCAGCUUAAUAUCUGAUACGUGGCCCCAUUGGGUCACUACGNUAUUAAACUGAUUUUUGGAANAAGAUGAGAUGCCCGNNNUUUGCUCCGCUCUCGNCACG